rnacentral:lncRNA from 1 species
ACAUUGUAACAAAGGGAUCCUAUUUAUAUGACAUAUUUAGGGGACAAGAAAACAUACACAAUAAUGGACAUUCAUUACAUAUUAUUAUUCAUAACACUCCCCCUUGAAUGUCCAUUAAGGAUAUGUCUCGUUAAAACCUUACUAGAGAAAAAACCAUUAGAAAAAAAAUCCUAGUGAAGGAAAAAGAGUACAUAUUAUUCUUUAUAUGUGAACUGCCUCGUUAAAAACCUUACCAGAAAAACCCAGUGGGACAAAACCACGGUGAAGGGAAAAAGAGUGCAUAACAUAUAUAUUUAUGUCUCCCCUCAUAAAAACAGUUAUAUAUGAGAUGAAUAAACCAAAUAAUUUUCGGUGCUAGUUCCUCAAAAGGUUUGCUUGAAGUUGAUUUUGUAGAAAGAUUUGACAUAUUUUCUUUAUUAUACUCUUCUCCAAGUUAGCAGUGCUUCUUAUGUUAUCUUCAUAUUGAAUUGUUGCGGGAAUCAUCCUUUUGUAAUAAAAACAACAAGUUUCUUGUAUGCGUUGAAUUACAGGCCUCAUGCCUCGACAAAAGUGCAUUCUAAACUUGCUUGAUGUAGUGCUAAAAUUUUCAUAUGAUUGGAUGAUAUUGUUGUUUCUUUAAGGUAAAUAAUAUGUUUGACUUUGUUCCACUAUUUGUGUUGGCCGAAAAGACUAAAAUAAAAUACUACAUGUAUAACGAGUAAAAUAUAUUAGUGCCCUCAAUUGAAUUAAGAUAUGAUACUUCCAGACCAAUUCAAAUUGUUCAUCAUUUUCUUGAGGCUUGACACAUUAAAUGACAUUGCAUCCAUUUUAGUACACAACAAAUUAGAUUUGUCAAUGUCAAAUAUCAUUUUAUUGAGGCACAAAAUUUUAUUCAAAUUAUAAAUUUGCAAUUCCAAAUAAAUUUUGCGCAUACAGAUAUUUCUUUAAUCUACAAAUUUCAGAAGCUCUUCAGGAGUUCUGUUAAUAUUUACAACAAAUGAUAUUUCUCAACAAAUAUAUUAGUAUUUGAUAUAUGGUACUUCAGGACCAAUCAGUAAUUCACUAUUAAGGAACUUACAACGAUUUCAUAUAGAAUCUAGGAAGCACCGACACUGCUGUUUAGGGGCGUGUCCCGGUGUCGGACACGUGUCGGUGUCGGACACGCGCCGGACACGCGGACGACACGUGUCAGAAUCAUGUGAGAGGUGUCCCCAAAAAAAAAUUUUGAAAGACACGGCUUGGACACGCCUCCGACACGCCUUAGACACGUUAGAAAUUGAAACACGCGUUUUGGAAUGAGAAAGAUGAAAGCCCAAAAUAAACAAAAUUAGUUUUAAAACAUAAAAUCAAAACUCAAACCUAAGGAUAAAAACAAAGAACCCUUUUCUUUGGUUGCCGUCAUCUCCAUCUCUCUUUGUCCAGGUUAGAAUCUGAUUUUCUUCCAUGUAUUUUGCUUUACUUUGAUCUGUUCUGACAAGCUUUUUUCUAUCUUUCUCUUGUAUAUGUCAAUGAAAUCAAGUAGUAGGAGGCAUGUGUAGGAUAAAGCCUUUUUGUUAGUUUGCUUUGUGUUGUGUUUAUCAAUUGCAGAUUUGAUUAUUGCAGACUUAGUUGUAGAUGGUUUUGAUCUUUUGGACCUUCAAAGUAUACCUUGACUUUGAAGUGUGUCGUUUUUUGCUUUUUAGAAAGUAAAACACACUAUAGGUUGUACUUUUGUUAUUAUUUUAUUAUUAUUAUUGUAGUAAUAGAU